GACGAACGCUGGCGGCGUGCCUAAUACAUGCAAGUCGAGCGGACGAAUCGAAAGCUUGCUUUUGAUUCGUUAGCGGCGGACGGGUGAGUAACACGUGGGCAACCUGCCCUGUAGACGGGGAUAACACCGAGAAAUCGGUGCUAAUACCGGAUAACACGAAAUGUCGCAUGACGUUUCGUUGAAAGACGGCGCAAGCUGCCGCUACAGGAUGGGCCCGCGGCGCAUUAGCUAGUUGGUGAGGUAACGGCUCACCAAGGCGACGAUACGUAGCCGACCUGAGAGGGUGAUCGGCCACACUGGGACUGAGACACGGCCCAGACUCCUACGGGAGGCAGCAGUAGGGAAUCUUCCGCAAUGGACGAAAGUCUGACGGAGCAACGCCGCGUGAGCGAAGAAGGCCUUCGGGUCGUAAAGCUCUGCUGUUAGGGAAGAACAAGUAACGCAGUAACUGGCGUUACCGUGACGGUACCUAACGAGAAAGCCACGGCUAACUACGUG
rnacentral:rRNA from 1 species